rnacentral:rRNA from 1 species
UGGGGAAUAUUGCACAAUGGAGGGAACUCUGAUGCAGCGACGCCGCGUGAACGAAGAAGGCUUUCGAGUCGUAAAGUUCUUUUAUAUGGGAAGAUAAUGAUGGUACCAUAAGAAAAAGCCCCGGCUAACUCCGUGCCAGCAGCCGCGGUAAUACGUAGGGGGCUAGCGUUGUCCGGAAUCACUGGGCGUAAAGGGUUCGCAGGCGGAAAUGCAAGUCAGGUGUAAAAGGCAGUAGCUUAACUACUGUAAGCAUUUGAAACUGCAUAUCUUGAGAAGAGUAGAGGUAAGUGGAAUUUUUAGUGUAGCGGUGAAAUGCGUAGAUAUUAAAAAGAAUACCGGUGGCGAAGGCGACUUACUGGGCUCAUUCUGACGCUGAGGAACGAAAGCGUGGGUAGCAAACAGG